GCGUGGGCUGGGAUCUCUAGAUUUGACAGGCUAAGAAGGUCGUGGUAACCGGCGAAACAUCUUAGGAAUACCGGAAGCACGUUUUGAACUGAGAGUUACCGAAUUGGAUAACCACUCAUAAGUUUUGUGCAUUGUAGUUGUUAUGUUUCGAAGCGUUCUCGGUGAACUGAAACAUCUUAGUACCCAAAGUAAAAGCAAAGUAAUUACGAUUAUCCUUGUAACGGCGAGUGGUGGGAUAGUUUUCUUGAAACGUAAGUAUUUACGACAAUGAGGGGUCUCAUUUUUGGACAGGCAUGGUGAAGUGUAAUGUAUUGAUUAAGCAUCCGGAAUGAUGAACGGGUAAUUAUAGGUUGAAAGUGCCAUUACCUGAUAAAAUGAUCUUUGAAAAGUUCCCCCAAGUAUGGUAGGGCACGUGAAAUUCUGCCUGAAUUAACGGAGACCUCUCCGAAAAGAUGAAUAUAUUUUGAAGGAAUCGAUAGCGGAAAGUACCGUGAGGGAACGUUGAAAAGAACCCCGGGAGGGGAAUGAAAAAGUAUGUAAAAACGUAAUGCUUAUUUUGCAAGAUAAGAUAGACUUAACGAUUGAAACUGUGCCUGUUGAAGAAUGUGCUAGCGACUUAUGGGUUGUGGCAAGACUUUAGUUAGAUAUUAUGGAAGAUACAUUUUGUUUGGUAUGUUCAGCGAGAACAAGAGCGGCGUUCUUCUAUGAAUAAUCGUCAUAGUGCAAGCGUCUCCAUACAGUCGUGUGAUAAGAUUUGGGUUUGUUAAGUCAUGAUUUUUUGACCCGAAUUCAGAUGAUCUAACCAAAUUCAGUACGAAGCUUAGUUAUUACUAAACGGAGGUGCCAACCGUCCAUUGUUGAAAAAAUGACGGAUGAAUUUUGGUUAGUUGUGAAAUUCUAUUCGAAUCUGAGGCUAGCUGGAUCUCCCCGAAAUGUGUUGAGGCGCAGCAUUCAUCUUAUUGAAAUUCUUAGGGGGUAAAGCGACUAUUUUGGCGCGGGCCGUGUAAACGGUACUAAGUCUAGGUAAACUUAGAAUACUAUAGAUAAUAUAGAAUAGUGAGACGGCGUGGGAUAAGCUUCAUCGUCAAAUGGGAAACAGCCUAAACCGUUAAAUUAAGGCCCCAAAGUGUACUAGGCUUAGUGGUAAAGGAGGUUCGCGUACUAAUACAGGUGGAAGGUUUGACUAGAGGCAACAAUCCUUAAACGAGUGCGUAGUAGCCCACCUCUAUAUCCAAAUUUUGUGUGUAAUCGAGCGCCAAAAAUUAUCGGGACUAAGUCUUCCGCCGAAAUAGCGAGAUGGUAU
rnacentral:rRNA from 10 species